rnacentral:rRNA from 1 species
CCACUGAUAGGUUUAAAGGGCCGCGGUAUUUUGACCGUGCAAAGGUAGCAUAAUCGUUAGGUUUUUAAUUGGAAUCUUGUAUGAAUGGUUGGACAAAGGGGAGUUUGUCUCUAUAUUUAAUUAUUGAAGUUAACUUUUAAGUGAAAAGGCUUAAAUAUAUUAAUAAGACGAUAAGACCCUAUAAAACUUAAUAUGAAUUUUUGUUUGAUUAAAUUUUUAUGUAGUAUAUAAUGAUUUGAUAAUUAGUUCGUGUUAUAUUGGGGCGAUAUAAAUAAAGUGAAUAUUAACUGUUUGAAAUUAGAACAAAUUAGUUGAUUAUAAAUUUAAAUGAUCCUAUUUAAAGAUUAUAAGUUUAAGUUACUUUAGGGAUAACAGCGUUAUUUUUUUUGAGAGUUCUUAUCGAAAGAAGAGUUUGCGACCUCGAUGUUGAAUUAAGAUGUCUAUAUAGUUGCAGAAGUUAUAUUAGAAGGUCUGUUCGACCUUUAAAAUUUUA